rnacentral:rRNA from 1 species
CGGACGGGUGAGUAAUGUAUAGGAACUUGCCUAGUAGUGGGGGGACAACGUGUGGAAACGCACGCUAAUACCGCAUACGCUCUACGGAGGAAAGCGGGGGGAUCUUCGGACCUCGUGCUACUAGAUGGGCCUAUAUUGGAUUAGCUAGUUGGUAAGGUAAAGGCUUACCAAGGCGACGAUCCAUAGCUGGUUUGAGAGAAUGAUCAGCCACACUGGGACUGAGACACGGCCCAG